rnacentral:rRNA from 1 species
UACAGAGGAGCCAAGCGUUGUCCGGAUUGACUGGGCGUAAAGCGUGCGCAGGCGGUUGUGCAAGACAGAUGUGAAAUCCCCGGGCUUAACCUGGGAAUUGCAUUUGUGACUGCACGACUAGAGUGUGUCAGAGGGGGGUAGAAUUCCACGUGUAGCAGUGAAAUGCGUGGAUAUGUGGAGGAAUACCGAUGGCGAAGGCAGCCCCCUGGGAUAACACUGACGCUCAUGCACGAAAGCGUGGGGAGCAAACAGG